CGGGACCUCAGGGGGCGGAGCUACACGGGACAAGAGCCAGACUGCUUCAGAUCCAUCCUUCCUGCCACUGCCAGCCAGAUCAGGUACAGACCUGGGAUGUCUCUUCAAUAGAUUUCUCAACCCUCCUACACCAACCCUGGGAACACCAUAGCUGACCAAUAUCUAGCCAGGACCGUAGCAAGUCUAUAGUCCACACCCCGAGAAAGCAUUAUAUCAUGAUGUCAUAUAAAGGGGACGGCUGCCAACACCAGGAGAAGAAGAUGAGAUACAGUACUUAGUAUGCUCCAGGCAGCUUUGCCGCCAGGCCUUGCGGAAAGCGGAGCACCUGGUGUGUCAAAGGCAUGCCAGAUACAUGUGCCACAGGGCCCUAGGCAAUGCUCACCCACAACUAAUUAUGUCCUUUUAUCUUGCUGCCUACUGUACCUCAAAACCAUAAUCACAAAAAAGUCUAUUAAGAAAUAAAAUCCUCUUCCCCAAGCAAAA